rnacentral:rRNA from 1 species
UACAGAGGUCCCAAGCGUUGUUCGGAUUCACUGGGCGUAAAGGGUGCGUAGGCGGUUUGAUAAGUCUGGUGUGAAAUCCCGCAGCUUAACUGCGGAACUGCAUUGGAAACUAUUUGACUAGAGGAAUGGAGAGGAGACUGGAAUACUUGGUGUAGCAGUGAAAUGCGUAGAUAUCAAGAGGAACACCAGUGGCGAAGGCGAGUCUCUGGACAGUUACUGACGCUGAGGCACGAAAGCCAGGGGAGCAAACGGG